rnacentral:rRNA from 1 species
CCUGAUCCCUUCCCGAACUCAGAAGUGAAACCUCUUAGCGCUGAUGGUAGUGUGGGAUUACCCAUGUGAGAGUAAGUCAUCGCCAG